rnacentral:rRNA from 1 species
UGCCGGAGGUCAUUGCUAGUGGAGUCCGAUUUAGCCAUGCUAGUUGCACGGGUUUAGACCCGUAGCAGAUAGCUCAGUAACACGUGGCCAAACUACCCUCUGGAGCGCAAUAACCUCGGGAAACUGAGGCUAAUGGCGCAUACGGCUCGGCACCUGGAGUGGGCCGAGCUCGAAACGCUCCGGCGCCAGAGGAUGUGGCUGCGGCCGAUUAGGUAGACGGUGGGGUAACGGCCCACCGUGCCAGUAAUCGGUACGGGUUGUGAGAGCAAGAGCCCGGAGACGGUAUCUGAGACAAGAUACCGGGCCCUACGGGGCGCAGCAGGCGCGAAACCUUUACACUGCACGCCAGUGCGAUAAGGGGACUCCAAGUGCGAGGGCAUAUAGUCCUCGCUUUUCUGGACCGUAAGGUGGUCCAGGAAUAAGUGCUGGGCAAGACCGGUGCCAGCCGCCGCGGUAAUACCGGCAGCACGAGUGAUGGCCGCUCUUAUUGGGCCUAAAGCGUCCGUAGCUGGCCGAUCAAGUCCGUUGGGAAAUCCGCACGCCCAACGUGCGGGCGUCCGGUGGAAACUGAUCGGCUUGGGACCGGAAGACCAGAGGGGUACGUCCGGUGUAGGAGUGAAAUCCCGUAAUCCUGGACGGACCACCGGUUGCGAAAGCGCCUCUUGAAGACGGAUCCGACGGUGAGGGACGAAAGCUCGGGUCACGAACCGGAUUAGAUACCCGGGUAGUCCGAGCUGUAAACGAUGUCUGCUAGGUGUGACACGGAAUUGGCGGGGGAGCACUACAACCGGAGGAGCCUGCGGUUUAAUUGGACUCAACGCCGGACAUCUCACCAGCAUCGACAGUAGCAAUGAAAGUCAGCCUGAUGAGCUUACUGGAGUUACUGAGAGGAGGUGCAUGGCCGCCGUCAGCUCGUACCGUGAGGCGUCCUGUUAAGUCAGGCAACGAGCGAGACCCGCACUCCUAAUUGCCAGCAACACCCCCGUGGUGGUUGGGUACAUUAGGAGGACUGCCAGUGCCAAACUGGAGGAAGGAACGGGCAACGGUAGGUCAGUAUGCCCCGAAUGUGCUGGGCGACACGCGGGCUACAAUGGCCGAGACAGUGGGAUGCAACGCCGAGAGGCGACGCUAAUCUCCGAAACUCGGUCGUAGUUCGGAUUGCGGACUGAAACUCGUCCGCAUGAAGCUGGAUUCGGUAGUAAUCGCCGUUCAGAAGACGGCGGUGAAUACGUCCCUGCUCCUUGCACACACCGCCCGUCAAAGCACCCGAGUGGGGUCCGGAUGAGGCCCGGUUUCCGGGUCGAAUCUGGGCUCCGCAAGGGGGCUUAAGUCGUAACAAGGUAGCCGUAGGGGAAUCUGCGGCUGGAUCACCUCCU